rnacentral:rRNA from 1 species
GUCCACGCUGUAAACGAUGAGUGCUAGGUGUCGUGGGUAUUGACCCCCGCGGUGCCGCAGCUAACGCAUUAAGCACUCCGCCUGGGAAGUACGGUCGCAAGACUAAAAACUCAAAGGAAUUGACGGGGGCCCGCACAAGCGGUGGAGCAUGUGGUUUAAUUCGACGCAACGCGCAGAACCUUACCUGGGCUGGAAAGUGUUUGGAAGUCUGGUGAAAGCUGGAUGUGCCCGCAAGGGAACCAAGUGACAGGUGCUGCAUGGCUGUCGU